rnacentral:snoRNA from 1 species
AAGUCAUUUCCAAGAGGGCUUUUGGUACUGAAACCAGGAGCUCUUAACACUGUGACCCUGAAGGCCCUCUUCCCUAGGUUGCAGUGGCCGCUCAGGCAGGAACGCUGCCUUACCUGUGGGGCUCUGUGG